UUCCGUGGCCAUAGCGGAGGGGGUACACCCGGUCACAUUCCGAACCCGGAAGUUAAGCCCUCCAGCGCCGAUGGUACUGCGCUGGCAACGGCGUGGGAGAGUAGGUCGCUGCGGAAA
rnacentral:rRNA from 1 species